ACUGUACAUUUGACGCGAAGCUGGUUUUCACUUUGAUCUGUCAGAUUUUACGAUUUACCAUUUCUGAGAUCAUUGUGAAAGCUAAUUUCGUGACUCACGGUGAA
rnacentral:pre_miRNA from 1 species